rnacentral:rRNA from 1 species
CUUGGUGAUCAUAGCGCCGGGGAGACACCCGAUCCCAUUCCGAACUCGGCAGUUAAGCCCGGACGCGCUGAUGGUACUGCAUGGGCAGCUGUGUGGGAGAGUAGGUUGUUGCCAAGC